GUAGGUGUGUGUGAGUGCAAGUUUGUCACCUGUAAGUGUACAUUUGUAAGUGUGGUGAGAACGGUAGAAGGUCUGUGUCGGAGUCUGGGAUUUUAGUGUGUUUUCUGCCUGCUACUAGAUGCCGCCAGAGCCUCUGAUUCUGUGAAUAACAGGUGCUGAGAUGAACAGGUGCUGCCAAUCUACAUUCUCUUGGAGGAGUAUAAGAAGGCAGGGCUGUCUGCACUCCAGUGCCUGACUGUUAGCCUUUGUGGUGACUUCCUAGUCCUGGCUCCAAGCUCCUGUGUCAGUUUAGUGCUGGCUUCAAGCUUCAGUCCGCCUCCUGCCAAAGUCAAGACAUCAAGCCUUCAAGAACUGUUUUGGAUCAAGUUCCAGCAGACAGCCCAAGCCCUUCGACUCCUACAAUCUCAGAGAGCUCUCCUCUUACCUUGGAUUAAUACCCUGACUCAGCAGCAACUAAUCCGCCAGGCUCCGCAUCGUUCUCCCUCGGCCCACCACGUUCUCAUCAUCUACUUUGGUGCAUCCUGCUCCAGGUCCAUAUCCACUUCCUGUCAAAAUACACUGUUCUCCUGCCUCCUGACUGUCAUUCUGCAUGUGGGUCAAAUCUGUAAAGAAAACCAGUAAGGGGUUUCAGCAUCUCAUCUUCCUUAGAACAAUCAGGGUAAUCUACCACUGGAGGGGUUGGCAAUUUUGUUUCCAGCAACAUAAUUUCCCAUAAUAAAUCCAAUCCCUUGUACAAGAAAUAAAUGAUGCACAGUAACAUUAAAAACUCCAGAUAGCAACUUUGUCAUAAUACAUCCUACAAACAUACCCAAAUCAAAAAUUAGAAUAUUUUUGAAAGUCAAUUUAUUUUAGCAACCCCAUCACUAACUCAAACACAUUAUAUAGAUUAAUUGCACAGAGAGAUGUUUAAAAGCCUUCAUUAAUGUUAAUUCUAAAGAUUUUCUGCUAACGGCAAAUGAAAACACAACAUUUAAGAUUAGAAUAUUACAUCAAAUCAAUAAUAAAAAAAAACAUUUUCAAUAAAGUUUAAUAUUUGCUUGAAGGUUGAUAUUUUCAAAAGGUGCUACUAAUCUGACCAACGAGCGUCAUUGGAAAGCAUAUUCUAAUUUAUUGCAGAAAUGCUACUACUUAUACCAUCCCAAUAUGUUGUACAAUUGGCCCUGCCUGACAGGAAGUCUCUUCACUGAGUUAAAAAGGGGGCUGGAAUUCUAGUCUUUGCUAUCUGCUCCUCAGGA